AGCAGCCGCGGUAAUUCCAGCUCCAAUAGCGUAUAUUAAAGUUGUUGUGGUUAAAAAGCUCGUAGUUGAACCUUGGGCCUGGCUGGCCGGUCCGCCUCACCGCGUGUACUGGUCCGGCCGGGCCUUUCCCUCUGUGGAACCCCAUGCCCUUCACUGGGUGUGGCGGGGAAACAGGACUUUUACUGUGAAAAAUUAGAGUGCUCCAGGCAGGCCUAUGCUCGAAUACAUUAGCAUGGAAUAAUAGAAUAGGACGUGUGGUUCUAUUUUGUUGGUUUCUAGGACCGCCGUAAUGAUUAAUAGGGACAGUCGGGGGCAUCAGUAUUCAAUUGUCAGAGGUGAAAUUCUUGGAUUUAUUGAAGACUAACUACUGCGAAAGCAUUUGCCAAGGAUGUUUUCAUUAAUCAGGAACGAAAGUUAGGGGAUCGAAGACGAUCAGAUACCGUCGUAGUCUUAACCAUAAACUAUGCCGACU
rnacentral:sRNA from 1 species